rnacentral:rRNA from 1 species
UACGUAGGGGGCAAGCGUUGUCCGGAAUCAUUGGGCGUAAAGAGCGUGUAGGCGGCCCGAUAAGUCCGCCGUGAAAGUCCAGGGCUCAACCCUGGAAUGCCGGUGGAAACUGUCGGGCUGGAGUCCGGAGAGGCGAGUGGAAUUCCUGGUGUAGCGGUGAAAUGCGCAGAUAUCAGGAGGAACACCAAUGGCGAAGGCAGCUCGCUGGGACGGUACUGACGCUGAGACGCGAAAGCGUGGGGAGCAAACAGG